AUGCAGAUUAAUGUUAACUCCAAAUGAUUAAUUAGACCCCCUUUAACUAGUACAAUAUGCUUUUCUUUUUAAAAUUUAUACAACAGUUCAAGUAUUAAAUGGUGACGUUGAGAGGAGUGAGAGAGAGAGAGACAGUGAUGUUACCAUGCAAUGCUAAGUACAAAAUUCAACCUACCCCAUAUAUCUCAAUAUUAACUUCUUUCAACAAAUCAUUAACAACCGUAGCUAUACGUUAAUUCACGGGAAAACGGGUUACUCA
rnacentral:lncRNA from 1 species